rnacentral:rRNA from 1 species
CCUACGGGAGGCUGCAGUGGGGAAUAUUGCACAAUGGGGGAAACCCUGAUGCAGCGACGCCGCGUGAAGGAAGAAGGAUUUCGGUAUGUAAACUUCUAUCAGCAUGGAAGAAAAUGACGGUACCUGACUAAGAAGCCCCGGCUAACUACGUGCCAGCAGCCGCGGUAAUACGUAGGGGGCAAGCGUUAUCCGGAUUUACUGGGUGUAAAGGGAGCGUAGGCGGUUUAGCAAGUCAGAAGUGAAAGCCCGGGGCUCAACUCCGGGACUGCUGUUGAAACUGUUGAACUAGAGUGCAGGAGAGGUAAGUGGAAUUCCUAGUGUAGCGGUGAAAUGCGUAGAUAUUAGGAGGAACACCAGUGGCGAAGGCGGCUUACUGGACUGUAAAUGACGCUGAGGCUCGAAAGCGUGGGGAGCAAACAGGAUUAGAUACCCCUGUAGUC